AUUGAACGCUGGCGGCAGGCCUAACACAUGCAAGUCGAGCGGAUGAAGGGAGCUUGCUCCUGGAUUCAGCGGCGGACGGGUGAGUAAUGCCUAGGAAUCUGCCUGGUAGUGGGGGAUAACGUCCGGAAACGGGCGCUAAUACCGCAUACGUCCUGAGGGAGAAAGUGGGGGACCUUCGGACCUCACGCUAUCAGAUGAGCCUAGGUCGGAUUAGCUAGUUGGUGGGGUAAAGGCCUACCAAGGCGACGAUCCGUAACUGGUCUGAGAGGAUGAUUAGUCACACUGGAACUGAGACACGGUCCAGACUCCUACGGGAGGCAGCAGUGGGGAAUAUUGGACAAUGGGCGAAAGCCUGAUCCAGCCAUGCCGCGUGUGUGAAGAAGGUCUUCGGAUUGUAAAGCACUUUAAGUUGGGAGGAAGGGCAGUAAGUUAAUACCUUGCUGUUUUGACGUUACCAACAGAAUAAGCACCGGCUAACUUCGUG
rnacentral:rRNA from 1 species